UAUUUUUGCAAUGAGGAUAAAUGUGAAUCCCAGCUCAUUAUGAGACCUUUUGUGGUCCGGGAAAAGGCUCUAUCCACAUACAUCUGAGCUCACAUA
rfam:Prunus persica cultivar Lovell chromosome G6, whole genome shotgun sequence.